rnacentral:rRNA from 1 species
CAUGCAAGUCGAGGGGAAACGACAUCGAAAGCUUGCUUUUGAUGGGCGUCGACCGGCGCACGGGUGAGUAACGCGUAUCCAACCUGCCCACCACUUGGGGAUAACCUUGCGAAAGUAAGACUAAUACCCAAUGACGUCUCUAGAAGACAUCUGAAGGAGAUUAAAGAUUUAUCGGUGAUGGAUGGGGAUGCGUCUGAUUAGCUUGUUGGCGGGGUAACGGCCCACCAAGGCGACGAUCAGUAGGGGUUCUGAGAGGAAGGUCCCCCACAUUGGAACUGAGACACGGUCCAAACUCCUACGGGAGGCAGCAGUGAGGAAUAUUGGUCAAUGGACGAGAGUCUGAACCAGCCAAGUAGCGUGCAGGAUGACGGCCCUAUGGGUUGUAAACUGCUUUUAUAAGGGAAUAAAGUGAGAGUCGUGACUCUUUUUGCAUGUACCUUAUGAAUAAGGACCGGCUAAUUCCGUGCCAGCAGCCGCGGUAAUACGGAAGGUCCGGGCGUUAUCCGGAUUUAUUGGGUUUAAAGGGAGCGUAGGCCGGAGAUUAAGCGUGUUGUGAAAUGUAGAUGCUCAACAUCUGAACUGCAGCGCGAACUGGUUUCCUUGAGUACGCACAAAGUGGGCGGAAUUCGUGGUGUAGCGGUGAAAUGCUUAGAUAUCACGAAGAACUCCGAUUGCGAAGGCAGCUCACUGGAGCGCAACUGACGCUGAAGCUCGAAAGUGCGGGUAUCGAACAGGAUUAGAUACCCUGGUAGUCCGCACGGUAAACGAUGGAUGCCCGCUGUUGGUCUGAAUAGGUCAGCGGCCAAGCGAAAGCAUUAAGCAUCCCACCUGGGGAGUACGCCGGCAACGGUGAAACUCAAAGGAAUUGACGGGGGCCCGCACAAGCGGAGGAACAUGUGGUUUAAUUCGAUGAUACGCGAGGAACCUU